rnacentral:rRNA from 1 species
ACGGAAAGGCCCUUCGGGGUACUCGAGUGGCGAACGGGUGAGUAACACGUGGGUGAUCUGCCCUGCACUUUGGGAUAAGCCUGGGAAACUGGGUCUAAUACCGAAUAGGACCGCAUGCUUCAUGGUGUGUGGUGGAAAGCUUUUGCGGUGUGGGAUGGGCCCGCGGCCUAUCAGCUUGUUGGUGAGGUAAUGGCUUACCAAGGCGACGACGGGUAGCCGGCCUGAGAGGGUGACCGGCCACACUGGGACUGAGAUACGGCCCAGACUCCUACGGGAGGCAGCAGUGGGGAAUAUUGCACAAUGGGCGCAAGCCUGAUGCAGCGACGCCGCGUGAGGGAUGACGGCCUUCGGGUUGUAAACCUCUUUCGCCAGGGACGAAGCGCAAGUGACGGUACCUGGAGAAGAAGGACCGGCCAACUACGUGCCAGCAGCCGCGGUAAUACGUAGGGUCCGAGCGUUGUCCGGAAUUACUGGGCGUAAAGAGCUCGUAGGUGGUUUGUCGCGUUGUUCGUGAAAACUCACAGCUUAACUGUGGGCGUGCGGGCGAUACGGGCAGACUUGAGUACUGCAGGGGAGACUGGAAUUCCUGGUGUAGCGGUGGAAUGCGCAGAUAUCAGGAGGAACACCGGUGGCGAAGGCGGGUCUCUGGGCAGUAACUGACGCUGAGGAGCGAAAGCGUGGGGAGCGAACAGGAUUAGAUACCCUGGUAGUCCACGCCGUAAACGGUGGGUACUAGGUGUGGGUUUCCUUCCUUGGGAUCCGUGCCGUAGCUAACGCAUUAAGUACCCCGCCUGGGGAGUACGGCCGCAAGGCUAAAACUCAAAGAAAUUGACGGGGGCCCGCACAAGCGGCGGAGCAUGUGGAUUAAUUCGAUGCAACGCGAAGAACCUUACCUGGGUUUGACAUGCACAGGACGCCGGCAGAGAUGUCGGUUCCCUUGUGGCCUGUGUGCAGGUGGUGCAUGGCUGUCGUCAGCUCGUGUCGUGAGAUGUUGGGUUAAGUCCCGCAACGAGCGCAACCCUUGUCUCAUGUUGCCAGCACGUUAUGGUGGGGACUCGUGAGAGACUGCCGGGGUCAACUCGGAGGAAGGUGGGGAUGACGUCAAGUCAUCAUGCCCCUUAUGUCCAGGGCUUCACACAUGCUACAAUGGCCGGUACAAAGGGCUGCGAUGCCGUGAGGUGGAGCGAAUCCUUUCAAAGCCGGUCUCAGUUCGGAUCGGGGUCUGCAACUCGACCCCGUGAAGUCGGAGUCGCUAGUAAUCGCAGAUCAGCAACGCUGCGGUGAAUACGUUCCCGGGCCUUGUACACACCGCCCGUCACGUCAUGAAAGUCGGUAACACCCGAAGCCGGUGGCCUAACCC